GAUGCAUCUUACCUUUCUGCCCCUGGAACAGGAAUGAAAUUUUAUAGGAAAUCGUUCUUCUUUAUCUGUGAAGGUUUCUGAGGCUGCAGGUUGACAGAGAUCCGCUUGGGCUGUGCCUUGUUGGCUCUGAUACAUCGAUCGCCAUUUCUUUUACAUCGCACAGAGGAGGCCCUGAGCGCUGACCCGGGUGAGCACGGACCGCAAUCUGGGAGCCCAAGGAAGGGAGAAGCUGGACCACGGAGUUAUCCACGCACAAUUUAUUCAUCAGCGGCACACAGAGCACAACUCGCCGAUUAACGCAGAAGAUGAGGA
rnacentral:lncRNA from 1 species